rnacentral:rRNA from 1 species
UCACGUGGUCUUCGGCAGGGAGAUCCUCUUUCCCCGUUUUUAUUCCUUUUUGUGGCUGACGGUUUAGCUGCGAUCCUGAAACAGGGUGUUCGUACACGGAGCUUUACACCGGUGCGUGUGUGUCCUCGAGCGCCAGGCAUCUCACACCUCCUAUUUGCUGAUGACACUUUGCUCUUCUUUCGAGCCACGAAACAAGAAGCGUUGAACGUCAAGGCGGCCCUUAAUACUUAUGCUCAGGCUACAGGACAGUUGAUCAACCCCCAUAAAUGCUCUAUCUUAUUUGGCGAACAUUGUCGAGUGGCUGACCGUGAGGCUGUUGUGCAAGUCCUGGAGGUGCAGCAGCAGAGUUUUGAGGAGCGAUACUUGGGACUUCCAACUCCCAAUGGGCGCAUGUCAAAGGAUAGAUUUCAAAAUCUGCAGCAGAAAUAUAUGAAGAGGAUGAUCGAAUGGGAUGGCUCACAACUUGCCCAGAGCGGGAGAGAAGUGCUCAUAAAAUCAAUUGCCCAAUCAAUUCCGACAUACGUGAUGAGCGUGUUCAAACUUCCA